rnacentral:lncRNA from 1 species
CUGGAAGUCUCUGGCUCCACCGGAACGAGCUGUUUCAUUGGGAUAAGACCUCAAAGGGGAAUGUGUGAGUGAGCCAGGAAAUGAGUCGAACCAGGUCCCCCCAGAACAUUUGAUUGUAGUCCUGGGCAUCCAUCCAAAUCCCAGGGGCCUUUGCCCCAGAAGAGAUCAUGGCUUACUGGUGACGCUGAAUAGAGGUCAUGAGCACAGUGUGACGAAGAAGCCAGGAGGAAACCCUGCAUUCAUGAAGUCACCCACAGUUCCAUCUACUCCAGCCAACACCAGGAUGCUUCACACCCAUGGACGUGAAGAACCAGGAACAAUCACCGAGCUUGCCUCUGGGAAAUCUGAACCAAGACAUCCAGGAACCUGGACAUGGAUUGAACUAUCUCUUCAUUGUCAGUUACCACUUGCUAAGCACAUCACCCCCAGAUCUGUGUGAGGGGGUCAGGUGUGCUGGGGUGGAGAAGACAACACAGAGCAGCCUGGGAUGGGAAGUCAGUCUCCUGGUGGUGGGAGUGGUAGAUGCUUGUGGUUGUGCUGUCUCCUUUGAGUAAAAACUCCAGCUGCCAAGUGCU